UUCAUAAUAACUUAACGAAUCGCAUGGCCUUGCGCCGGCGAUGGUUCAUUCAAAUUUCUGCCCUAUCAACUUUCGAUGGUAGGAUAGUGGCCUACCAUGGUCUCAACGGGUAACGGGGAAUUAGGGUUCUAUUCCGGAGAGGGAGCCUGAGAAACGGCUACCACAUCCAAGGAAGGCAGCAGGCGCGCAAAUUACCCAAUCCCAAUUCGGGGAGGUAGUGACAAUAAAUACUGAUACAGGGCUCUUUUGGGUCUUGUAAUUGGAAUGAGUACAAUCUAAAUCCCUUAACGAGGAACAAUUGGAGGGCAAGUCUGGUGCCAGCAGCCGCGGUAAUUCCAGCUCCAAUAGCGUAUAUUAAAGUUGUUGCCGUUAAAAAGCUCGUAGUUGAACCUUGGGCCUGGCUGAUCUGUCCUCCUAAUCGAGCGCACGGAUUCGGUCGGGCCUUUCCUUCUGGGGAGCCCGAUGCCCUUCACUGGGCGUCGCGGGGAACCAGGACUUUUACCUUGAAAAAAUUAGAGUGUUCAAAGCAGGCCUUUGCUCGAAUACAUUAGCAUGGAAUAAUAGAAUAGGACAGAGGUUCUAUUUUGUUGGUUUCUAGGACCGCUGUAAUGAUUAAUAGGGAUAGUCGGGGGCGUCCGUAUUCAAUUGUCAGAGGUGAAAUUCUUGGAUUUAUUGAAGACGAACUACUGCGAAAGCAUUCGCCAAGGAUGUUUUCAUUAAUCAGUGAACGAAAGUUAGGGGAUCGAAGACGAUCAGAUACCGUCGUAGUCUUAACCAUAAACUAUGCCGACUAGGGAUCGGACGGUGGUUUUUUUAUGCCCCGUUCGGCACCUUACGA
rnacentral:rRNA from 1 species